CAACAAGUAUUUCGCAAAAAAACAGCCAUAAAUUACGCUAAUCAAACUACUAAACUCACAAACAGGGGACAUAAAAGCGCCCUUCAGUGUCUUUACUAAUCAGUAAUCAAAGAUAAAGAUGAAGCUCGCUUGCUACAAACUUUUCGUCCUGUCAAUCUUCGCCUGCGUGCUGCUGGCGUCCGGAAAUCCAUCUAGAAGGCCAAGUCAGCAGGAAAGAAUGAUGAGUGGAAAUCACAGAAUUUAAGGGUUUGACGGGUUACGUCAUCUUCGAAUGAAUUUUGACAUAAAGUGACACAAUGUGAAAUCGUAUGAUUUUAACCUUGAAUAAAACAAAUUGACAGAUAUUC